ACCCUUGUGCAGUUCAUAAGCCCAAUGACUGAGUGUUCGCAUGUGUGAGAUGUGCCUCCCCUCAAACCUUGUUACGACGUCCACAUGUUACCCGUCUAACG
ensembl:snoRNA